UAUAGGACAGCGGCAUCUCGAUCCUGACAAGGACCCGGCGUUGCGGAGACAAGAAGGCGGCCGCUGGCUGGCUGCUCCUCGCGUGGCCAGACUCUCAAGUGAUAGAUGGGAGAACUGUGCAUGCGCUCCUGCUUCUCCCCGCUUGAGGAGGGUCAACAGGGAAGAUCUAGGGCAGGGGAUAUCGGAGGAACACGAGAUUGUGGAGAGGAUUUGGUAGAAGAAAUACUGGCAGCGUAGCAUCUUGAAGAAAUCCAUCUGUUACGUGUACUUUAGCUUUUUACGAAGGAUUGUGACAUGGCAGCACUUUGCAUAUACAGGCUGAUCCGCGCUAGUGGUGCUUCAGCACAGAAGGCCAUCUGGUGGCCCCGAAACUAUGAGCUGCGUGCUAUUGCGGCGCAGGUGAUCGCAGGGUGGUGAGAGGCGUCAACGGAUGUGUCCAAGUCAAGUCAGGUUUGAAAUUUGGACAGCGGCAUCUCGAUUGCGACAAGGACCCGGUGUUGCGGAGACAAGAAGGCGCUGCUGGCUGGCUGCUCCUUCCAUGGAGCGCCAUCUCGAUCCUGACAAGACCAUGGAGUUGCGGAGGUAAGAGGCGGCCGCUGGCUGGCUGCUCCUCGCGUGGCCGGACUCUCAAGUGAUAGAUGGGAGAACUGUGCAUGCGCUCCUGCUUCUCCCCGCUUGAGGAGGGUCAACGGGGAAGAUCUAGGGCAGGGGAUAUCGGAGGAACACGAGAUUGUGGAGAGGAUUUGGUAGAAGAAAUACUGGCAGCGUAGCAUCUUGAAGAAAUCCAUCUGUUACGUGUACUUUAGCUUUUUACGAAGGAUUGUGACAUGGCAGCACUUUGCAUAUACAGGCUGAUCCGCGCUAGCGGUGCUUCAGCACAGAAGGCCAUCUGAUGGCCCCGAAACUAUGAGCUGCGUGCUAUUGCGGCGCAGGUGAUCGCAGGGUGGUGAGAGGCGUCAACGGAUGUGUCCAAGUCAAGUCAGGUCUGAAAUUUGGUAGGUAUAUCAUGUUCUCUGAAUUACGAUAUGUUAAUUCUCUAUCAUGCAAAUUAAAACCAAUACCAUCACGCUUGGGCUUUGUCUGUUUUAUUUACUUAUGGAUGAGUAUGAAUAGUAUGAUGAACUGCAGACUGAUAUUAAUUAGCAAAGGAGACACUGCGUAUUAGCAUUGCGGGAUUCAUAUUUCAGAAUACACUAGCGUCUUCCUUAAGGAGCUCAGGAAUAAUAACAGAAGUACUCAGGUUUGAGUUGGGGGUUCGAGACAUUGGACGUUUGUUUAAUUAUUUUGUAGUUAUCUGUACAUAAUUUUCCAUGAUUGGACUGACGUAAAUGAAAAGAAAUCAAGAGGUUUAGAAACUUUAUUGAUCAUUUUUUGCCCCUAAUCACCUACCACUUAUUCUAUCGGUAUACUAAUCCUAGACUCCCUAGAAAUUCCUACGUUAAUCAGUAAUUAGGAGCCGUUAAUCUGAUGAGACCGAGUUAUUACGAUGUGGAUCCACCGUAUAAUCCUUGCAAUCCAAGAAAAAACUAACAUAGCGCAGCUAUAAAAAAAACAAUCUAGGGUGGCUGUUAAAAAACAAAUCUAUCGUACUACUCUCCUACACGAUUGAUCCUUCCCAAAGAAUCCUCACGCGCAACUAAUCUUCACGCAAUAGUAAACCAAUCUUAAAAAAAACAAUCUAGGGUAACUGCAAAAAAACCAAUCCAUCGUACUACUACUACUACACGAUCCUUCCCCAAAGAAUCCUGACGCAAAACUAAUCCUCAAAAAAUAUAGGACAGCGGCAUCUCGAUUGCGACAAGGACCCGGCGUUGCGGAGACAAGAAGGCGCUGCUGGCUGGCUGCUCCUUCCAUGGAGCGCCAUCUCGAUCCUGACAAGACCAUGGAGUUGCGGAGGGAAGAGGCGGCCGCUGGCUGGCUGCUCCUCGCGUGGCCGGACUCUCAAGUGAUAGAUGGGAGAACUGUGCAUGCGCUCCUGCUUCUCCCCGCUUGAGGAGGGUCAACGGGGAAGAUCUAGGGCAGGGGAUAUCGGAGGAACACGAGAUUGUGGAGAGGAUUUGGUAGAAGAAAUACUGGCAGCGUAGCAUCUUGAAGAAAUCCAUCUGUUACGUGUACUUUUGGUACAAUGCUAGCCGGAAUCGACCAAUCUUUUUGUGAAAGUCAGCUUUUUGUUCCUAUGUGCAAUUCCCAUCUCUCUCCUUUCUCUCUUUACUACUGCUGCUAGCUAACUCCGUUGAUCUUCUAUAGCUUUUUACGAAGGAUUGUGACAUGGCAGCACUUUGCAUAUACAGGCUGAUCCGCGCUAGCGGUGCUUCAGCACAGAAGGCCAUCUGAUGGCCCCGAAACUAUGAGCUGCGUGCUAUUGCGGCGCAGGUGAUCGCAGGGUGGUGAGAGGCGUCAACGGAUGUGUCCAAGUCAAGUCAGGUCUGAAAUUUGGUAGGUAUAUCAUGUUCUCUGAAUUACGAUAUGUUAAUUCUCUAUCAUGCAAAUUAAAACCAAUACCAUCACGCUUGGGCUUUGUCUGUUUUAUUUACUUAUGGACGAGUAUGAAUAGUAUGAUGAACUGCAGACUGAUAUUAAUUAGCAAAGGAGACACUGCGUAUUAGCAUUGCGGGAUUCAUAUUUCAGAAUACACUAGCGUCUUCCUUAAGGAGCUCUGGAAUAAUAACAGAAGUACUCAGGUUUGAGUUGGGGGUUCGAGACAUUGGACGUUUGUUUAAUUAUUUUGUAGUUAUCUGUACAUAAUUUUCCAUGAUUGGACUGACGUACAUGAAAAGAAAUCAAGAGGUUUAGAAACUUUAUUGAUCAUUUUUUGCCCCUAAUCACCUACCACUUAUUCUAUGGGGAAUGAUGUUCAUUGGUCUGCGUGCAUGAAGACCCGCGGUCAGCAUGUGCUAGCACAUUGCAAGGAAGCAUAGCUGCGCUUUGGCAGGACUGCAGGAGCUAAGUUCCAUCAGUUCAUCAUCCUGACCCUCCCUUGAUACGUAGGUUGUUCUUCCUUCAAAUAUAACAGAUGCAGAGCACACAGGCAAGCAACAUGGCAGCCGGAGACAAGCCAUACUUUUUGGUGGACUGCAGCUAGCGUUGAUGUCCUAUUGCUAGAGAAAAAAAAGUAGCAACAACAUCAUUUGGUCCAUAGAGAAUAUCACAUGCGGUCCUUACUCAAGAAAGGCACGGAACGCUUGAGCCAGACAUUGCCAUCGGUGAUCGGUGGAGGCUAGGCAACAUCACCAUCAACUUAAAGAUAACCUAAAAUUAGGUCCGUGAGCAGUAGGGCUUCAAUCUGCAGUCUUGAUAUAAACACAUCAAAACAUGUACUACCCUCUAUUGAUGCAUGGAGACCAGGUUACAAUGGCUGCACUGACACCACUAUUUUUUAUCAAGAGAUUGAUCUAUAAUUUCCUUUUUCUAUAGAAGGUUGAUCUAUAGUUUCCCCUUUUUCUGUCAGUGCUUGAAGUUCUUCAUGUGUCGACUUCACAUGCGUUGUGUUUUGCUGCAGCACAUUCAUGGCAAGGACAUAUUGCUUAUUGAUGCUUAGGUGCUGGAAGGGUGCCCACAUGAUUACUGGAUUAGUACAUAAGAACGAAGCUAAUCAAGUAUGUGAAAUUAUCUAUGAGAAGAACAUUUUUAACACAGUAAAUGUUCACACGAUGGCUGCAAUCCAAGGGUGUCGACGAGGAUGACCAUGAACACGAUGGCGCUUUUUAGCUCGGAUGGUUAUACGAUAGAAAGCACAUCGAGCCUAUAUAAACUUAUAAAUCCAAUUAGAGGUUACAUUCAUCGACAAGCAGUAUUAGGCUUUCAAG